rnacentral:rRNA from 1 species
CCUACGGGGGGCAGCAGUGGGGAAUAUUGCACAAUGGGGGAAACCCUGAUGCAGCGACGCCGCGUGAGUGAAGAAGUAAUUCGUUAUGUACAGCUCUAUCAGCAGGGAAGAAAAUGACGGUACUUGAGUAAGAAGCCCCGGCUAACUACGUGCCAGCAGCCGCGGUAAUACGUAGGGGGCAAGCGUUAUCCGGAUUUACUGGGUGUAAAGGGGGCGUAGACGGGAGUGCAAGUCGGGAGUGAAAGGGGGGGGCACAACCCCCGGACUGCUCUGGAAACUGUACGGCUGGAGUGCAGGAGAGGUAAGUGGAAUUCCUAGUGUAGCGGUGAAAUGCGUAGAUAUUAGGAGGAACACCAGUGGCGAAGGCGGCUUACUGGACUGUAACUGACGUUGAGGCUCGAAAGCGUGGGGAGCAAACAGGAUUAGAUACCCCUGUAGUC